UCCGGUUUGUCACCGGCAGUCUCCUUAGAGUGCUCUUGCGUAGCAACUAAGGACAAGGGUUGCGCUCGUUGCGGGACUUAACCCAACAUCUCACGACACGAGCUGACGACAGCCAUGCACCACCUGUGCACUGGUCCCGAAGGAGGACCGUAUUUCUACGGUUUUCCAGUGCAUGUCAAGCCCUGGUAAGGUUCUUCGCGUUGCAUCGAAUUAAACCACAUGCUCCGCUGCUUGUGCGGGGCCCCGUCAAUUCCUUUGAGUUUUAAUCUUGCGACCGUACUUCCCAGGCGGGGUACUUAAUGCGUUAGCUACGGCACAGAGACCGUGGAAUGGCCCCCACACCUAGCGCCCAACGUUUACGGCGUGGACUAC
rnacentral:misc_RNA from 1 species